UGGGGAAUUGUUCGCAAUGGGCGCAAGCCUGACGACGCAACGCCGCGUGGAGGAUGAAGGUCUUCGGAUCGUAAACUCCUGUUGCCCGGGACGAAUAGCUUCGACCUAACACGUCGGAGUAUGACGGUACCGGGUGAGGAAGCCCCGGCUAACUCUGUGCCAGCAGCCGCGGUAAUACAGAGGGGGCAAGCGUUGUUCGGAAUUACUGGGCGUAAAGGGCGCGUAGGCGGCCUGUUAAGUCGAACGUGAAAUCCCUGGGCUCAACCCAGGAACUGCGUCCGAUACUGGCUGGCUUGAAUCCGGGAGAGGGAUGCGGAAUUCCAGGUGUAGCGGUGAAAUGCGUAGAUAUCUGGAGGAACACCGGUGGCGAAGGCGGCAUCCUGGACCGGUAUUGACGCUGAGGCGCGAAAGCCAGGGGAGCAAACGGGAUUAGAUACCCAUGUAGUCCCUGAGCGGGCUGGCAAGGCGCAU
rnacentral:rRNA from 1 species